GCCGGAAUAGCUCAGUGGUAGAGCAACCGCCUUGUAAGCGGUAGGUCGUCAGUUCAAUCCUGACUUCCGGCACCA
rnacentral:tRNA from 1 species